UAGCUAGUUGGUAGGGUAAUGGCCUACCAAGGCGACGAUGGGUAGCCGGGGUGAGAGGGUGGCCGGCCACACUGGGACUGAGACACGGCCCAGACUCCUACGGGAGGCAGCAGUGGGGAAUUUUGCGCAAUGCUCGUAAGAGUGACGCAGCGACGCCGCGUGAAUGACGAAGGCCUUCGGGUCGUAAAGUUCUUUCGACAGGGAAGAAAAUGCCUAUAAGUAACUGUGUAUGUAUUGACGGUACCUGUAUAAGCAGCCCCGGCUAACUCCGUGCCAGCAGCCGCGGUAAUACGGAGGGGGCGAGCGUUGUUCGGAGUGACUGGGCGUAAAGAGCACGUAGGCGGUGUUGUAAGUCAUUAGUCAAAGACUAGAGCUCAACUUUAGUAAGGCUAGUGAUACUAUAAUACUAGAGUAUCAGAGAGGAUUGCAGAAUUCCUGGUGUAGCGGUGAAAUGCGUAGAUAUCAGGAGGAAUACCGUUAGCGAAGGCGGCAAUCUGGCUGGAAACUGACGCUGAGGUGCGAAAGCGUGGGUAGCAAACAGGAUUAGAUACCCUGGUAGUCCACGCUGUAAACGAUGGAUGCUAGGUGUUGGGCUUUUAAGUUCA
rnacentral:rRNA from 1 species